GGACACCCCAGGGAGUUCGUUAUGAUUGACGAAAGCAACUUUCGGCACAAACGAAAGUAUGGGCGUGGAAGGUUCGCAAAGACUUGGCAUAGAAGAAAGUGGGUCUUUGGGAUGCUGGGGGUUGCAACAGGAAAUAGCAAGCCCAUUCUAAAACUUGUUCAUCGCAGGUCCCGAAAUCACCUUAUCCCACUUAUUGUACGACAUGUGCAUCCUGGAAGUUCCAUACUUAGUGAUGAAUGGCGUGCUUACAGAGGGGUACUAACUAAUCUUGGCUAUAAUCACUUUCCUGUGAAGCAUAAUCAGUGUUUUGUAGAUCCAAUAACAGGCAGCCAUACACAGAAUCUAGAAAGAGCAUGGUUAACUUUCAAAGGAAAAAUAUGGCGUCUUAGAGGAAAUAGAACAGAGGACCUACUAAAACAACAUCUAAAGCUGAUAGAGUGGACUUACUGGCUUGGAAACCGGCACAGAAAUGGUCCUCUUGGAAGACUGUUGAAGGACAUACAUCGAAAAUAUCACCUUUAAAACACAAAGCUGAUCAUUUCCAAAGGUGAUUAUUCAGUAUUUGUCCAGCCUUACCUGACCAUACUUGCUCACUCCCAGAUAUAUAUAUAAUUCUUACUUUAAAUAAAUCAAAACACUACAGUUGUGUUAAUUAAUUUCCAAUUGUCUUUUUAUUAAUGUGUAAUAUGUAUAAAUUGUUAUACCACUGUCAUGUAAUGUAUGUGGUUCUUUGUAGAAACAAGUUUUUGUUCUUAAUAAUUAUUUUGUAUUUUUUGUCCUGGCAAAGAUUGCUAAUGUUGACCAGUUAUGUAAGGUAAUAAAGGUUCUUACCCUCUUUUAUUACACUUUACAAUAAAGUUUACCAUUUCCAUUAAUAAAUGCUUUGUUAAUGAUAAGUCAUGUCAAUAAAGGAUCUACAAAUGCUA